CCCUUAGAUGUUCUGGGCCGCACGCGCGCUACAAUGAUGAAUUCAACGAGUUUAUAACCUUGGUUGAAAAGCCUGGGUAAUCUUUUGAACUUUCGUCGUGAUGGGGCUAGACCCUUGCAAUUAUUGGUCUCCAACGAGGAAUUCCUAGUAAACGCAAGUCAUCAGCUUGCAUUGAUUACGUCCCUGCCCUUUGUACACACCGCCCGUCGCACCUACCGAUUGAAUGUUCCGGUGAAAUCUUCGGAUUGAGACUUUGAUUUCUUCACGGAAAACGCUGUUUUAAAAAGUUGAUUAAACCUUACCAUUUAGAGGAAGGUGAAGUCGUAACA
rnacentral:rRNA from 1 species